rnacentral:rRNA from 1 species
GACGAACCGUGCGAACGUUAUUCGGAAUCACUGGGCUUAAAGGGCGCGUAGGCGGGCGGCCAAGUCAGAGGUGAAAGCCCCCAGCUCAACUGGGGAAGUGCCUUUGAUACUGGUCGUCUCGAGGGAGAUAGGGGCGUGCGGAACUUCCGGUGGAGCGGUGAAAUGCGUAGAUAUCGGAAGGAACACCGGUGGCGAAAGCGGCGCGCUGGAUCUCUUCUGACGCUGAGGCGCGAAAGCCAGGGGAGUGAACGGG